rnacentral:lncRNA from 1 species
AUCUCCUCUGCUCCAUCAGGUGCCUAGCUUCCCCAAGAGCUGCCUUCACAUCAGAGAGCAGUCUGAAAGAUGAGCGAAAAAUAAAAGAGGAAAAAAAAGAGUGUUUACAGGGGAGACUUUGCAGACAGAAGGAAGCUGGGUGCAAGGCCCUAUCUAUGAAUGGAGAUUACUUCUGCUUCUUAAAAGAUUCCCAGGAAGCAGAGCAGCGCAGUGAAACCGAAAUCAUUAUGUUGACUGAAUUCAUUACUGCCGGACUUGUCCCUCCAUGAAAUAGCACUGCUCAGCCAAUUGGGAUUCAUGGUCACAACCCUUCACGGGAUCAUCAGGGUUUAUAGUCCAUAACAAAUACAAAUACAGCCAGGAACAAUAACAGUCUGAUACACCUGAUGUAUUACCCCACCUUGUGAGACUGUCGCGAGGACCAGAGGCAGUGCCUGGCCGCGUGUUUUCCCCUGUGCAGUCGUAUGGAAGCCGAGGCUGUGCCUCAGAACACAGCCCUCACAGCAAGCUCUUCAGUGACUAAAACCCACCUUUAUGCUGGCAACACAAUGUUUGUGACUGCUGUGUAGGGCAGCUUUGAACAUUUGCUGGAAGCAUCUGAACACUGCAGAAAUUAUUGGUUAAAGUAACACCUGAAGUCAGUUCUGUGGAGUGCUUCAGAAGAAGUCUGAAAUCCCAGCUCAACCCUUUCAAAG